GCCUGGUAGGCAAAUCCGCCGGGCUUAGAUGAGGGGUGAUAACGAGGAAGCUUGCUUCCGAAGUGAGUGAUACCCUGCUUCCAGGAAAAGCCACUAAGCUUCAGCUACACACGACCGUACCGCAAACCGACACGGGUGCGCGAGAUGAGUAUUCUAUGGCGCUUGAGAGAACUCGGGAGAAGGAACUCGGCAAAUUGACACCGUAACUUCGGAAGAAGGUGUGCCUUUAGUAGGUGAAGGGAUUUACUCCUGGAGCCCAAUGAGGUUGCAAAAAAUCGGUGGCUGCGACUGUUUAUUAAAAACACAGCACUCUGCAAACACGAAAGUGGACGUAUAGGGUGUGACGCCUGCCCGGUGCUGGAAGAUUAAAUGAUGGGGUGCAAGCUCUUGAUUGAAGUCCCAGUAAACGGCGGCCGUAACAAUAACGGUCCUAAGGUAGCGAAAUUCCUUGUCGGGUAAGUUCCGACCUGCACGAAUGGCGUAACGAUGGCCACACUGUCUCCUCCCGAGACUCAGCGAAGUUGAAAUGUUUGUGAUGAUGCAAUCUCCCCGCGGAAAGACGGAAAGACCCCAUGAACCUUUACUGUAGCUUUGUAUUGGACUUUGAACGGAUCUGUGUAGGAUAGGUGGGAGGCUUUGAAGCAGGGUCGCUAGAUCUUGUGGAGCCAACGUUGAAAUACCACCCUGGUGCGUUUGAGGUUCUAACCUAGGUCCAUUAUCUGGAUCGGGGACAGUGCAUGGUAGGCAGUUUGACUGGGGCGGUCUCCUCCCAAAGCGUAACGGAGGAGUUCGAAGGUACGCUAGUUACGGUCGGACAUCGUGACGAUAGUGCAAUGGCAUAAGCGUGCUUAACUGCGAGACUGACAAGUCGAGCAGAUGCGAAAGCAGGACAUAGUGAUCCGGUGGUUCUGUAUGGAAGGGCCAUCGCUCAACGGAUAAAAGGUACUCUGGGGAUAACAGGCUGAUACCGCCCAAGAGUUCAUAUCGACGGCGGUGUUUGGCACCUCGAUGUCGGCUCAUCUCAUCCUGGGGCUGUAGCCGGUCCCAAGGGUAUGGCUGUUCGCCAUUUAAAGAGGUACGUGAGCUGGGUUUAAAACGUCGUGAGACAGUUUGGUCCCUAUCUUCCGUGGGCGCUGCAGAUUUGAGGAAGCCUGCUCCUAGUACGAGAGGACCGGAGUGGACACACCUCUGGUGUAUCGGUUGUCACGCCAGUGGCAUUGCCGAGUAGCUAAGUGUGGAAGAGAUAACCGCUGAAAGCAUCUAAGCGGGAAACUCGUUUCAAGAUGAGAUCUGCCGGGGCCUUGAGCCCCCUGAAGAGUCGUUCUAGACCAGGACGUUGAUAGGUCAGGUGUGGAAGUG
rnacentral:rRNA from 1 species